GGAGUGGCGCAACCGUGAGUAGCGCAUAAGAACCUGCCUUUCUGUGGGGGAUAACCGAGGGAAACUUCUGUCCAUACCGCAUGCGCCCCGGGAGAGAUCCUGGGGGAAAGAUUUAUCGCCAUUGGAUGGGCCCGCGUCGGAUUAGCUAGUUGGUGGGGUAACGGCUCACCAAGGCGACGAUCCGUAGCUGGUCUGAGAGGAUGAUCAGCCACACUGGGACUGAGACACGGCCCAGACUCCUACGGGAGGCAGCAGUGGG
rnacentral:rRNA from 1 species